UGCAGUCGAACGCCGACGCACCUUCGGGUGUUUAGGAGUGGCAGACGGGUGAGUAACGCGUGGGAACCUACCUUUAGGUACGGAAUAACGCAGGGAAACUUGUGCUAAUACCGUAUGAUCCCUUCGGGGCAAAGAUUUAUCGCCUAAAGAUGGGCCCGCGUUAGAUUAGCUAGUUGGUGAGGUAAUGGCUCACCAAGGCGACGAUCUAUAGCUGGUUUGAGAGGAUGAUCAGCCACACUGGAACUGAGACACGGUCCAGACUCCUACGGGAGGCAGCAGUGGGGAAUCUUGCACAAUGGGCGAAAGCCUGAUGCAGCCAUGCCGCGUGAGUGAAGAAGGCCUUAGGGUUGUAAAGCUCUUUCGCUAGGGAUGAUAAUGACAGUACCUAGUAAAGAAGUUCCGGCUAACUCCGUGCCAGCAGCCGCGGUAAUACGGAGGGAACUAGCGUUGUUCGGAAUUACUGGGCGUAAAGCGCGCGUAGGCGGACCAAUCAGUCAGAGGUGAAAUCCCGGGGCUUAACCUCGGAACUGCCUUUGAUACUGUUGGUCUAGAGUUCGAGAGAGGUAAGUGGAAUUCCCAGUGUAGAGGUGAAAUUCGUAGAUAUUGGGAAGAACACCAGUGGCGAA
rnacentral:rRNA from 1 species